rnacentral:rRNA from 1 species
AAGUGUUAAUUUAAUUUACCAGGGUACUAUUAGUUAAGGUCUUUAAACCCAAAGAAUUUGGCGGUAUCUCAUUCCAUUCAGAGGAACCUACCCCGUGAUUGAUAGUACACGAUUAACUUUACUUAAUUUAUUUGUUUGUAUAUCUCCGUUAUCAGAAAAUCUUUUUAGAGUUAUAAUUUUCUUAAUUUAUGAUUAUAAAAUAUUUCAGGUCAAGGUGCAGCUUAUAAUUAAGAGGUGGUGGGUUACAAUAGAUUUUUGUUUAUAAUGGAUUUAAUAGUGAAAUACUAUUAAUGAAGGUGGAUUUGAUAGUAAUUUGAUUUAUUUAGUUUAAUUGAUAUUGGCUCUGAGGU